rnacentral:rRNA from 1 species
CCUACGGGAGGCAGCAGUAGGGAAUUUUCGUCAAUGGGCGCAAGCCUGAACGCGCAAUGCCGCGUGAACGAGGAAGGUCUUCGGAUCGUACAGUUCUGUUGACGGGGAAAAAGAGCGUAGAGAGGAAAUGUUUUCUGAUUGAUAUUACCCUUCGAGGAAGUCACGGCUAACUACGUGCCAGCAGCCGCGGGAAUACGUAGGUGGCGAGCGUUAGCCGGAAUGUUUGGGCGUAAAGGGUGCGUAGGCGGCCUGCUAGGUCUGGGGUGAAAGGUACCGGCUCAACCGGUAAAUGCUCUGGAAACUGGCGGGCUAGAGAGCAGGAGAGGGUGGUGGAACUCCAUGUGUAGCGGUAAAAUGCGUAGAUAUAUGGAAGAACACCAGUGGCGAAGGCGGCCGCCUGGCCUGUUACUGACGCUGAGGCACGAAAGCGUGGGGAGCAAAUAGGAUUAGAUACCCCGGUAGUC